UACAGAGGUCUCAAGCGUUGUUCGGAUUCAUUGGGCGUAAAGGGUGUGUAGGUGGCGCCGUAAGUCGGGUGUGAAAUUUCGGAGCUUAACUCCGAAACUGCAUUCGAUACUGCGGUGCUUGAGGACUGGAGAGGAGACUGGAAUUCAUGGUGUAGCAGUGAAAUGCGUAGAGAUCAUGAGGAAGACCAGUGGCGAAGGCGGGCCUCUGGACAGUUCCUGACACUGAGACACGAAGGCCAGGGGAGAAAACGGG
rnacentral:rRNA from 1 species